GAGGAUAUAGCUCAAUUGGCAGGGUGCAUGCUUAGCAUGCAUCGAGGUCCUGGGUUCGAUCCCCGGUAACUCCA
rnacentral:tRNA from 1 species